CGCCGCGUGGUUCCGGGCGGAGCGGGGUUGCGUUGAGUAAACGGCGUUUGUUUAACCGUGUUUUUGUUAACAGGAGGCACAGGCGGCGUUAAGAAGCAUACAGGGUUUAACGAGUUAGUAAAAAAGAAGCAAAAAUAAUAAAGAAGUAUGAAAUAGAAGCUGGGUCUCGUUUGAAACCAUGGACGCUCUCCCAAGGCUUGUCUGCCCGCUGAGAGUCUAAAUAUAACACCGUCUGUGUCUGCCCGGGGCGCUGUGGGUUCUCAAGCUCUGCCCACGCCCCGUGCUUUCACAAGCACUGCAGAACAUCCUCGUCACACGAUAAUGCAACUGGACACACAACAAUGCUUGGGGUUCCGUUUUUUUCUUCGUUAAAAAACAACAACAUGGUGUCCCAGGGUCCAUUGUCAGCUUCAUGUAGAGUUUGACAACAUGACAGCCUGCCAGCAACAAGUUGGGAUAAUCCCCUCCAACAAACAUGCUGGAUACUUUCCAGAAAAUUUCUCUGUAGUUUGUGAAGUAUAUGGUGAAGGAACACAGAUCACUUGGUGACAGAGAACAUAUGGACCACAUAUAACAUAACACAUACUCAUUAUCCUAGCUCUUUUCUCUCUCAAAAUAUAUAAAGUUUGUUGUAUUCACGCAUGCCAGUCUAUGGCACCAAGUGUAUUUUCUUCAUGUAAACAGGCUGUGAUAAAUUGCAGAACUUACUCAACUGGUUCUGUUAGAGCUAAACUUAACAUUCAUGUUACUCAUCCCUGUAAAGCACGUUAUAGAUUGGUCAAAAAACACAAAAGUAUUGAAACAUGUUAAAAGCAAUAAUAAGUGGCAUUCUAAAUGAGACUUGCAGGUUACAGAUAAUCCAGUUUAUCCAUAACUAAACACACAAGGGCAACUUAUACAAAUCUUAACAUUUUAUAGACAGAUAUGCCUCUGGGAAAAUCUCACUGAAACACUGCGGUGUUCCCUAUUUUUCAUAUGCUUGUGAAUUAUUUCCAUCCAAGAACAGUGUUUACUUUCCUUCAGAAGGGCAAUAAAUGCUCUUCAGAAGGAGCGUUUUCAGAUGCAGUCUCUGGAGACCUGGAGAAUAAGCAAUUUUGAAGUUUUCCCUACUUGGGUAGGAAAACUCCCAAAACCACCUGAUGCUGCUAGGACUGGAUCCAGCUCGCCUCUUGCACAUGAGCCAGUUGCCAAGCCAUGAAAACUGCUCACAUUUGUUUCAGAUUCUCUGGCACAUUUCACAGAGGAAUAUCAGAAGGCAUGUUUUAGCUAAUUUUCAUGUCCCCAUUCCCUUGCCUGUUUCUUUUGUCUUUCUUACAUCCAUUUGCUAUCCUAAAUGGCUACAGUUGCAACAUGGUACCUCAUCAAAAGUUGCACUGUUCCCUCUGUCUUUCUUCAGGCUCCAUUAAGUGGCUGUAAUUUCACAGGAAUUAAAAGAAUCCUUUACGUAUAGAUUACUUCUCAAUUGUAGUAUUAUACCUUGUUUUAAUACAGUGAAUUGUGUGAUGCUAACAGUGCAUCAGACAUCUUAAUAAAUGAGCUUGAGUUACUAUGGAAACACAAAACACCUUUAUUUAAAAUUCAAGGAAAAUUGGCCCUAAAGUCGUGCAGCAAGUAUACAUCAGAUUUCAGCCUUAGCUAAACAAUUCAUCUUUUGAAUGACUGUAUCUGCACUGAAAGUGUUUUGAAGCAUGAAGGUGGCUCAGUGUCUUCCCAGCCACCCACACUCAUAGUCUGUGAUUGGCAAAUCAACCGCUGAGUUGAAAAACAUGCUGAAUCUUUAGAAAAACAUAGAUCAAGUUUUAAGUUGAUGUAAAUAACGUGCAGCUUCACCGUAUAUGGAAUGCCUCAGUGUAGGAAAAGAUUUCUGAUAGAUUAUUAUUUUUUUUAACACGCUCAAAUAUUUCUAAUACACAGUUAAUAAAAACCCUAUUUUAGGUGGCUGAAGCAGCUUUUGGGACCUUCAGACCCUGUGUGGGAGCUUCCUCAAAGCAAGGGGUACCAAAACAAAAAGAAACAGGAGCUUGUGAUCCGCAGAUUCUUGGUGUAAGAGGGGGUAAACGCCUUUUCUUCUAGAAGAAGAGUCCUUUUACUCCCCAGAAGAUAGUAAGCAGUGGUGUCGUGAGAUAGAUUGAUGGAUUAAUCCUUAAGAAAAAAAAGCUUUUUUUUGAACAAUUGGAUUUUUGUUUCAGGGGGGUUAUUUAUUUAUUUGUUUUUCAG